GACGAACGCUGGCGGCGUGCCUAAUACAUGCAAGUAGAACGCUGAAGGAGGAGCUUGCUUCUCCGGAUGAGUUGCGAACUGGUGAGUAACGCGUAGGUAACCUGCCUGGUAGCGGGGGAUAACUAUUGGAAACGAUAGCUAAUACCGCAUAACAGUAGAUAUCGCAUGAUAUCUGCUUGAAAGGUGCAAUUGCAUCACUACCAGAUGGACCUGCGUUGUAUUAGCUAGUUGGUGAGGUAACGGCUCACCAAGGCGACGAUACAUAGCCGACCUGAGAGGGUGAUCGGCCACACUGGGACUGAGACACGGCCCAGACUCCUACGGGAGGCAGCAGUAGGGAAUCUUCGGCAAUGGACGGAAGUCUGACCGAGCAACGCCGCGUGAGUGAAGAAGGUUUUCGGAUCGUAAAGCUCUGUUGUAAGAGAAGAACGAGUGUGAGAGUGGAAAGUUCACACUGUGACGGUAUCUUACCAGAAAGGGACGGCUAACUACGUG
rnacentral:rRNA from 1 species